UGGGGAAUAUUGCACAAUGGGCGCAAGCCUGAUGCAGCCAUGCCGCGUGUAUGAAGAAGGCCUUCGGGUUGUAAAGUACUUUCGGCGGGGAGGAAGGGAGUAAAGUUAAUACCUUUGCUCUUUGACGUUACCCGCAGAAGAAGCACCGGCUAACUCCGUGCCAGCAGCCGCGGUAAUACGGAGGGUGCAAGCGUUAAUCGGAAUUACUGGGCGUAAAGCGCACGCAGGCGGUUUGUUAAGUCAGAUGUGAAAUCCCCGGGCUCAACCUGGGAACUGCAUCUGAUACUGGCAAGCUUGAGUCUCGUAGAGGGGGGUAGAAUUCCAGGUGUAGCGGUGAAAUGCGUAGAGAUCUGGAGGAAUACCGGUGGCGAAGGCGGCCCCCUGGACGAAGACUGACGCUCAGGUGCGAAAGCGUGGGGAGCAAACA
rnacentral:rRNA from 1 species